rnacentral:rRNA from 1 species
AUUCUGGCUCAGGAUGAACGCUGGCGGCGUGCUUAACACAUGCAAGUCGAACGGGAUCCAUCAGGCUUUGCUUGGUGGUGAGAGUGGCGAACGGGUGAGUAAUGCGUGACCGACCUGCCCCAUACACCGGAAUAGCUCCUGGAAACGGGUGGUAAUGCCGGAUGCUCCAGUUGGAUGCAUGUCCUUCUGGGAAAGAUUCAUCGGUAUGGGAUGGGGUCGCGUCCUAUCAGCUUGAUGGCGGGGUAACGGCCCACCAUGGCUUCGACGGGUAGCCGGCCUGAGAGGGCGACCGGCCACAUUGGGACUGAGAUACGGCCCAGACUCCUACGGGAGGCAGCAGUGGGGAAUAUUGCACAAUGGGCGCAAGCCUGAUGCAGCGACGCCGCGUGCGGGAUGACGGCCUUCGGGUUGUAAACCGCUUUUGACUGGGAGCAAGCCCUUCGGGGUGAGUGUACCUUUCGAAUAAGCACCGGCUAACUACGUGCCAGCAGCCGCGGUAAUACGUAGGGUGCAAGCGUUAUCCGGAAUUAUUGGGCGUAAAGGGCUCGUAGGCGGUUCGUCGCGUCCGGUGUGAAAGUCCAUCGCUUAACGGUGGAUCCGCGCCGGGUACGGGCGGGCUUGAGUGCGGUAGGGGAGACUGGAAUUCCCGGUGUAACGGUGGAAUGUGUAGAUAUCGGGAAGAACACCAAUGGCGAAGGCAGGUCUCUGGGCCGUCACUGACGCUGAGGAGCGAAAGCGUGGGGAGCGAACAGGAUUAGAUACCCUGGUAGUCCACGCCGUAAACGGUGGAUGCUGGAUGUGGGGACCAUUCCACGGUCUCCGUGUCGGAGCCAACGCGUUAAGCAUCCCGCCUGGGGAGUACGGCCGCAAGGCUAAAACUCAAAGAAAUUGACGGGGGCCCGCACAAGCGGCGGAGCAUGCGGAUUAAUUCGAUGCAACGCGAAGAACCUUACCUGGGCUUGACAUGUUCCCGACAGCCCCAGAGAUGGGGCCUCCCUUCGGGGCGGGUUCACAGGUGGUGCAUGGUCGUCGUCAGCUCGUGUCGUGAGAUGUUGGGUUAAGUC